GAGCGACUAGAACCAUGUUAUAUGGUUU
rnacentral:sRNA from 1 species